UACGUAGGGUGCGAGCGUGGUCCGGAAUUAUUGGGCGUAAAGGGCUCGUAGGCGGUUUGUCGCGUCGGGAGUGAAAACCAGGUGCUUAACACCUGGCUUGCUUUCGAUACGGGCAGACUAGAGGUAUUCAGGGGAGAACGGAAUUCCUGGUGUAGCGGUGAAAUGCGCAGAUAUCAGGAGGAACACCGGUGGCGAAGGCGGUUCUCUGGGAAUGACCUGACGCUGAGGAGCGAAAGUGUGGGGAGCGAACAGG
rnacentral:rRNA from 1 species